AGCUCUCUCUCAGUUCUCUGUAAUGAAGGUGAAAGUGAAAAUAGUUUUCGACUCAGAAACAGAGAAACUGCACCGUUACACUUCCUGCUGUAUCGGACUGAUAAAGGAGGAAUAUAUGUGUGUGUAGACAGGAGACAUUUUAAACACGGGGUUUAAACCUUAAUGAGAUAAAUACCGAAUAUGAGCCGCUCUGAAAUGUGGAAACGCUUCAGCUAAAGCAGCAGAUGUGUUUAUAUGAGGAACAGAGAAGGAUUUUAUUAGUUUGAAUCUACAGAAAGAGAUAAAGAUGGCGACUGCAAGAAAUGAGUUUAAACUCAUUGGUCCCAGUGGUACAGAGGAGUAUAAGCGCUCUGCUGUCACUCUCUCAUGUCGUCUGUCUCCUGAAAUCAGUGCUGUUAACAUGGAGAUCCGGUGGUUUAAGGAGACAGACUGUGUUUGUGUUUAUAAGAACAGAGAGGUGACAGAGGGGAGAGGUUACAGGGGCAGAGUGAGUCUGGACACUCAGGAGCUGGAGAGAGGAAACGUCUCCUUACAGCUGAGAGACUGUACAUGGUCAGAUGAUGGAUAUUACCUGUGUCAGGUCACUGAUGGAGACAGAACAGAGGAGAUUACAGUACAGAUGAUGGUAAGUAAAUAACUCGACUUCACACUAAUGGUAAAGGCUGAUAUUUUAUAAACUUAUCACAUAUAUUACAUUUUAAUCCAGGAAUCAAACAGAAUCAUAAAAAGCAUUUUCAGAUCAUGUUUACAUGAAGGAGUCUGAUCAGUAAGUGAGAUUCCACUUCCAUCAGUCAGCUUCUUUCCCACAAUGCACCUGUGUGUAACCUCACUGCAGUGCAAUAAUGUAGACAGAGACGUUUACCAUGUCGAGUAAAAGACACAACAAACACACAGUAUAUAACACACACCACUGACAGACUCCAUCACAAUCUUACACAAUAAACAUAAAUCACAGCUUUAACAGUUUUCAGUGCUUGUAGACAGAAUAAUUGUCAUCAGUCUCUCUGUGUAACAAUCACACCAUAUUCUGAAAAAGCAUUGAAGAGUCGACUCGGCCUAGCGUUUAGUCUCUUUAAGCUAACAGUAGUAAGGCGUGUUAAUGCACACAGAAUAAAGACAACCUGACUGAACUGAGAACAGAAGUCCUUCACUUCAUUUACAAUGGAUAUAAAAAGUCUACAUGUCCCUGAUAAAAUGGCAGGUUUUUGUUGUGUAAAAAAAUUAAAUCAGGAUAAAUCAUGUGUCACGUCUAGGACCCCGCCCUGUGCGGGGUUCGAACCCGGACUGCCGUGGUGUUGCGUGCAAGUGCCUGCACGCUGUGGAGAUAGAGACCCAUACGCAGGAUUCAGAGAAGCGCUGCUUUUAUUACAUAAAGACGAGACAGAGGGCAACUACUGUAACUUAACACUAGACAUGGCAUGGUGUAAAACUAAACAAAAGACAAAACCUGAACAUAACUAACCUAAACCUGCCAUAACACCACAGCACAGUUAACAAUCACAGACAAAGACAUGAACACAAGGAACCCUAUUUAUAGGGAGAGACAUUAGGGCUGAUGGGAUACAGGUGACGCACCAGGAAUGAGAACAAUGGGAAGGGCGUAACACAAAAGACACACAAAGAAGCAGGCUUCCAAGGUUCACCUGCCAGCGCCCUCUCUGGGCCUGGCAGGGAACUGUCCAGCUGUUCCUGACUUCAUGUCAGAACAUUUUCUACCUUUUAUUGGGAAAUUGUGAUUCAUAUAUUAUAGUGAUAAACAAUACGAUUUGUUUUUGUGGAGAAAAAAUAAAAAUAUACAAUUACCUGGUUGUAUUUUUGCACACACCCCUAAACUAAUACUUAAAGCUAGAGCUGGGUGAUAUGUCCUAUAAAUUGAAUCUCCGUUUUUUAAAACAAAAUUCGAUUUUCGAUUUCAAAAUGAUUAUUUUUCUUAAAGAAAAAUUAAUAAAACACUAGAGACUAUAUUAUAGAUUUUUUUUAUUUGAGCAAACACAAUACCACAUAUGAACUGCAAACUUACUUUCACUAACAAGUUUUUUUUUUUGUUAUUUUAGAAAAUCAAUAAUCAAUACAACAACAUAAAAACCUUUUUUUGGGAUUAAUAAAGUGCAAACUUUCACCAGUCUUUACAAGUUCUAAUUAUUCUAGCAAAAUAAAGUAAUAUAACAAAAUAUGAGGGAUUUGUCAAGUGCAAACUGCAGAUUUAACUUAAAUCACUUUUUAUAAAAUAAAUAGUUGUCACCUGAAAAAAAUCCCCGAAGAAAAAGAGUUUUGUAAAGCAGUUCAACACGCAACUAACACGCUAAAUAAAAUCAAACAGGAGCCAGACAGCAUUUUACAACUGUGUAUAUGGGCACAAUCAGGUAGAGUGGGCGAAUCCCCAGGGAGAGGCACAGGAUCAUCAGUUUUGUGAGAGGCCUCGCCUCAUCUGCAGUUUCAUUCUAGUUGCCAUAACAUUAUUCAGCUGUGUUCCCACAUUAUUUAGAAAACCGAAUAGACAAUUUAACAUACAUCAAUGAUAAACGGUGAAAUAAUUAAAAGAGAUUAACAAGAGAUUGAAUGUGAUUGGUUGAUUCUGAACACUGCCACAUUGUCAAUUAUGAAAGGGUGUGCAAACUUAUGCCACCUAUUUUAUUGUACAUUUUUAUUUUUAUUUUUCCCCCUAAAAUAAUUGUUAUUGUUCCUACUUUUAUAUGUAGUUUGCAGUUUUUCAAUAAAUGUGGAAAAGGAUCGGACAUGAUUUAUCUUGGGUUCAGUUUUUUUACUCAACAAAAACCUGCCAUUUUAUCAGGGGUGUGUAGACUUUUUAUCCAGAUAUAAAAAGAUUACAUGCUGUCAUAACCAAUAUAUAGAUGAAGCAGCAGAAAAACACAUCAUUCUGUAAUCUGUUCAGUUUUUACAUUGAUAAAUGUCUAUUUUUAAUUAAAGGAAGUGGGAAUCUGAUAUUCUGUAUAUUCCUUUAUCUACUACAAUAACACAUAGAUAUAUUACAGAAUAUUUCACUAUAUAUUUAAAAUACACAGGGGGAAAUACACAAAUACUGACAUACUGUAUAUUGGUAAAGACAUGCAGGGAUCAGAAAAUAGUAUUUUCCAAUAAAUCACAAGAUAUUUCUCUUCCUCAAGGGUAACUAGCGGUAUAUUAGCACAAUGCUACAUGAUACAGAUUUACUGUGUGUGAUGACUGAUUGUUGUCUAGUUUUCCUCUUUUUUAUUAAGACACACAUCAGCUGUGUUUUAACCAGAGUAACAGUUACUUUCACAUUUUCACAUGUAACAAGUCACAUUUGUAAUCAUGCAUAAAAUCUUCACACUGUUUUAUUUACUUUCACAGCGGACAUGUGAGUAUAAAUCCCUUUUCUCUGCUAGUGAUGUCUUGAUGCUGCAUGAAUAAUAUAUUUAUUGUACAGAUGAAAUAGAUUAGACUGUGCUGUGUGUUCAGAGUGCAAUAGCACAUAGAUAUAUGAGCAUCAUGAGCAUAGUGUAGUGAACACAACAGACUGUGAUCUCUGGCAGAACAUUCAUCAUGCUGUUGUCUAGUUUAUCAUUUAGUGUUGUACAGACACAGAAAUCUGACCUACACACUGAUACUGAGAGCUAAAAAGCUGAAUGUAUAGCAGUGAGAAGCAAAGCAAUACAAUAAGCUAGGUAAUACUGGGCUGCUAGUUUGUUCUGUAAACUGUGUGAUGUGUGUAAAUGAGUGCAGUCAGAAUGAGUUACACCGCCACAUCGGUGAUCAGACUGCUGCAGAAUCAGUGACAGUGUGAGCUAACCAACUUAUGCUAGGAACAAAGAUUAGCUCUUGUUGAAAGUGAGAGGUUUUGUUCUUUUACCUUGUGCUCAGACACUGUGACAGUCACAUUAAUGAGCAAAGAAACUCCAAUAUUUUAUCCACAGUGAAAAUCCACCAUGUAUAAUAGGGAUCCUCCAUUUUUUCCAGCCGAUACCGACUACUGUUUUUUGUUAUUGUGAUCAGCCGAUACCGAUCCCGAACUUCAUGCUUUAUAUAACUAUGUAACCUAUUUUAGUUCAUGAACUUAACCUAUUUUUUAAGUAGUGCCACAUAUGUUGGUUGUAUUGUUUAUAUUAUUUACAGUAAUUAGUGAGAUUGCGUAAGCAAUCGCACUCGUUAUCGUCACUAUUUAUUAUUAUUAUUCCGGUUCCUGGGCGCGCUACUAGUCCUAAACGGUAAUAACUAAAAAUAUGGUUGCAGUGCUAAAAUGUUCAUCAUGUGUUUCUUAAGUGUGCUAUUACUUUUCAUGCUGAUAAGUAUUGUAGUUUAUUUUAUAUUAAUUUUAAAUGCAUUUGUUACGGACUUCACUUCCUGGUUUCCGCACGGGCAUUUAAGGAGAUCGCGCACAGUUCGGUUUUUCUCUGAGAUUUUUUCUCGGUUUUUGUCGUAAACAAGCAUGUAAAACAUUACCAGUCCUAACGGUAAUCGCUAGAAACAUGGUUCCAACGCUAAAAUACUGCUUAGGUGUGCUAUUACUUUUCAUGCUGAUAAGUAUUAUAGUUUUUUAUAUGGAUGUGUAAAUGUAUUUUUCACGGACUUCAGACCGCUGCUGUGUGUGUGUGUGUGUGUGUGUGUGUGUGAGUAUGUGUGUGUGUGUGAGUGUGUGUGUGUGUGUGUGUGUGAGUGAGUGUGUGUGUGUGUG